UUGAUCUCAAAUCAGGUAGGACUACCCGCUGAACUUAAGCAUAUCAAUAAGCGGAGGAAAAGAAACUAACAAGGAUUCCCCUAGUAACUGCGAGUGAAGCGGGAAGAGCCUCAAAUUUAAAAUCUGACGUGCCCUCCUGG
rnacentral:rRNA from 1 species